AUGUCCUUUAUUGUAACGACCCCUUUGUGACAAGCGCUUAGCCGACUCACUAUCAUCACAGCUAUUAGGAAAGACCUGGAGUAACGUGUCUUUCACAGCAGUCUAUUGUGUGAACAUUUUGAAACGUACUUGCUAAAUUCCGACAACAAUAAAUGGUAUCACGUCAGUAAACGAGCUCUUUGGCAGGGCGACAUAUUGACUAGUUUCAGCAAGUAUUGAUCGCUCCGUUAGGAGUCCGCUGAAUCCUCUGAGGCAUCAAAGACGACAGAUUGCCUCUGUAGUCAUCAUAUGACACAGAUGACAGCGAGCAGCAGGAUGGGGAGGAGUGAAACUUUAUCUGUGCUUGUGGUGUUGGCAUAUCAUGUAGCAGCUGACCUGCCAUACAACGACUGUGGUGAGCCCCCGCCGAGUGCCAAUACUUACAGGACAUUCCCUGACAACAAUACAGUGGAGUAUCGGUGUAUAGACACCUACAUUCUAUCAUCAGGCGACCUUGUCCGAAAUUGCAUCAAUGGAACAUACACUGGGACCUCUCCAAUAUGUACACUGGACUGUGGUCCUCCCCUGAAUACAAGCUACGCCAGUAUCAACUCUACAGGAAGUAAAGAAGGGGACACGGUGACGUACACAUGCCCCGACGGUUUCCUUGUAUCCUCGACAAACACUGAAUGCAGUGGUCAAAACGGGUACUGGCUAGCUGGAGACAGAUGCUUUGCCAAUGCCAGUCUGGACGUUGCAGUCUUCACUGCGGUACAGACGUCCACCGCGACUUUGGAUGACAUCCGUAACACUACAGCUACACUUCUCGCACUGUCAUCCACCUCUACAUUUCAUCCUGCUAACGCCGUGGACCCAACAAAGCUGGGAGUGAGUCUUCUCAACGGCGACUGUAGCAGCACUGCACUCGAGCAACGUCCCCAUAUGAACGUCACUCUUGGCGACCACUAUGACGUCUAUCAAGUAGCCGUGACACUACCGGAUGAUGACUUUGCUUUCUCACUACCCAACCUAAACGUGCGACUCACAAACAAUCCCAGCCACAGGUUGUACAGCUGUAUGCAACACAUGACAUCUAUACCCGCGGGGUCCAGGUUCGUGGCUACCUGUACAGGUAAACGGUACCCAGCGUUCGGCAGACAUCUACAACUUGAGGUGGACUUUGGCGACCAACUUGGCAUGUUACAAAUCUGUCAGAUUGAGGUGUAUGCCCGACCUAUAACAUCAGUUGACUGUGGUCAACCACCUGAACGUCCGUUCGCAGUGAUGACAAGCCCACCGUCAACAACUCACUACAAGAGCCCUGUAGAGUGGGUAACUUACGACUGCGUAGAGGGUUACACGGUCAAGAGUGGUCGGGAAAAAGGUUACUGUAACGUCAAUGGCUACUGGACUGUGUCCAUCGUCUGCACAGCGGAUGAGAAUCUGUCACACGGGAAACCUGUUUCUCUGUCUGGCAACGACAUCAUGGACGUCUCCCCACUGACGGACGGUAACACAUCAUCGUGCGCCGUAAUACUGAAUGUGGCCGAGGGAACGUUUGUCAUUGAUCUGGGCAGUGAUGUCGAAGUUGGAGAUGUUUCCAUUAGAUUUUAUGAUGUGAAGAAACUCGAUUCUCCUGUUAUCAACGUGACAGUGUGGCGUGAUGGCUACCCUGCGUCAUCCUGUACACUGUAUACCUUCAUCUACUACCGUGGGGAGACCGCCAACGUCGUGUGCGACUACUUCCCCGUAGGCAGAUACGUCAGCGUUCACAUCUACUACGAGGUGCUCGUCCUACUAGAAGUCUGUGAGAUAAUGGUUCAUGGGAGGCGGUACACCGAUGCCUUGGAGUGUUAUCGCUAUCGAAAACAAACCGACUAUAAGGGACAUUUGAACACGACAGUAGCAGGAAUCCCUUGUCAAAGAUGGGAUUCCCAGAGCCCCCAUGCGCACUCCCACACGGACAUAUCAAAGUUCCCGGAUGAUAACCUUGAGGACGCCGCCAACUACUGCAGGAACCCUGACGGAAAAUACGGGCUCUGGUGCUACACCAACGACCCGGAUGUUGAAUGGCAGUAUUGCCCUGUCAGAAACUGUGAUUAUAUGUGCUUGCGAGACGAUAAAGGGUCAACAUACAAAGGGUUGAUACUAAAAACAGCCACUGGAGCCAGCUGUGUUAGAUGGAGUGGGGCAACAAUCCCCUUCAACAAGACGAGUCAUUUCUCGAACUGGUGGCAAUCUCUGAUAUACUGUCGCAAUCCAAUACUCUCACAGAGUCGUCCUUGGUGCUACACGUCCAAUGACGCUAGCCAGUAUGGUCUUUGUGACAUACCAACAUCGUGCCCUACGACUUCAGAGAUGACACGAGGUCACUGGGUUUUGGAUGCGGACCAAACAUUGAAUGACCUCCUACCGUCCACCGAAUGUCUGGUUUGGAACCGACUUUACACACCAGACGGAAACUUUAGCGGUACCUGGAAUGACGCCUUUACACCUUUUACCUACCGAAACACAUUCACGGCAGCAACUAUAUGUCGUGCAGGGAGGGUGUUCAAUACAACCAUGCAGUGCUUCAAUAUCACCGAAUCUGGAACGGUCUGGAAGGCUGGCGUUCUAGAAUGUGUGCACUGCGGAUCUCCCUACAGUGUGGAUAACGCUACCUUCUCCAUCUCCUCCAGUCUGCUAAACGGAACAGCCAAAUACACAUGCCAAAAAGGAUAUGGGCAUGCUUCCGGUUCAAAUAACGUCAAGUGUCUCAAAACUGGCCAAUGGGAGAUCCCUGACAUGAUCUGUGAAGUCGACUGUGGCACUCCUCCUUCCAUGGACCACGCAGACGUCGACGUCAACUCGACGCUGGUUGGAAAUACCGCUAAUUACACUUGUCACGACGGCUAUGCACACUUCUCAGCGUCUAACCAGGUCACGUGUCUUGACUCAGGCAAAUGGGAUGUUGAUGAUAUGACAUGUGAAGUUAACUGUGGAGACCCACCUUCAAUAAACAGGACCGAGGUCUCGGCUACCGACGGGUUCGUCAACGAGACUGUUGAGUACACGUGUAAACCAGGGUAUGCGAACGUGUCAGGAUCAGCCUUCAUCACCUGCCUCGAUACGGGGACAUGGGAAGAAGCGGGGAUACAUUGUGAAGUCGACUGUAGCAGUCCACCAGUUGUUGCCAACGCUGUUGCCAUCACUGACAAUACAACACUGAACAGCACCGCGGUGUACAGGUGUAGCCCUGGCUUUACACGUGUCAGUGGAUCUACCAACAUCACAUGUCUGGCUACAGGUGUCUGGGAGACUCCCUUCACAGAGUGUGUAGUUGACUGUGGACUCCCUCCGCAAGUAACCAACACAAAUAGGACUUACACCAGCACGCUGAUCAAUAGCACCACGGAGUACACAUGCGUUGACGGCACUGCGCAUGCCUCAGGCUCAACACAGGUCAUGUGUCAGUCAGACGGAAGUUGGACAACGCCAGAUAUUUCGUGUCUUGUUGACUGUGGACUCCCUCCGCAAGUAACCAACACAAAUAGGACUUACACCAGCACGCUGAUCAAUAGCACCACGGAGUACACAUGCGUUGACGGCACUGCGCACCAUUCAGGCUCAACACAGGUCACGUGUCAGUCAGACGGAAGUUGGACAACGCCAGAUAUUUCGUGUCUUGUCGACUGCAGCAGUCCACCGGUUGUUGCCAACACUGUUGCCAUCACUGACAAUACAACAUUGAAUAGCACCGCGGUCUACAUUUGCACUCCUGGCUUUACACAUGUCAAUGGAUCAUCCAACAUCACAUGUCUGAAAACAGGUGUCUGGGGGACUCCCUGGAUAGAAUGUGUAGUUGAUUGUGGUGUCCCGUCUCACGUAAGCUCCACAAAUAUGACUUACAACAGCACGCUGAUCAAUAGCACCACGGAGUACACAUGCGUUGACGGCACUGCGCAUGCCUCAGGGUCAACAGAGAUCACGUGUCAGUCAGACGGAAGUUGGACAACGCCAGAUAUUUCGUGUCUUGUCGAUUGCGGCAGUCCCCCGUCCGUACUUAACGCCAGUGUAACCAUAUCCGGCACCUGGGUGAACAGUUCAGCAAUGUAUGCUUGUCAAGAUGGAUUUAAAUCAUCAGGUUCUGCCUCAGUUACCUGCGAAAAGAACGGUUCUUGGGAAAUCCCUUCUUUUACGUGUGAAGAGGCUCCGUUACCCUUGACGACGUCAUCAUCUACACCAACAGAAUUACCAGUUGAUGAAUACGGAAGAACGCGAACUGAAAAAUGUAUCUGUCGUUGCAUCAACAAAGUGCCAAGAAAACAAGAAGACAUUUUGGGAGAAAUAUCCAAAAACCUAACUUUAGACACGAAAACUCUGACAUCCUUUAUAAUGUCAAAGGAAAGCCUUCCUGACGAGAGAAAAUCAUCUCAUGGUAUGGCUUAUGUUGCGAUAUCAGUGAUUGGAGUCCUAUUCGGAGUGGUAUUUGUAUCGGAUAUAUACUAUUUAAUACACGGAAUAACACGACAUUUCAGUGCACGGAGAUGAAAGUCAAACUAUGUCGUGGUGUAAUAAUAAGAAGCCCAGUAAUGUGAGGCCUACACUGUAUUUUGAAAUGGGCGAACUGUGUCACGAACAGAUGUGCGAUUAUAAACACAGGUAUUGCAACUCUGAAUCGACGUAGGUUUUGCUUCGCGACAACUGAAAACGCUAAUGAGUAGGUCGCACAAGAUCUGCUUACUGGCACUGGAACCAGUGCAUUUUAGAAAAUGCAUUGAUAUGAUAUUUGCGCUGAAUAUGUGUCCUUUUUUAUAACACAUUUGCUUCAUUUACCAAUGGCGCAUCUAUUCAUUGAGAAAUGCCAAAUAACUGAGAUGGAUUUCGUUUUCUUGUAAUUAUUUAUGCUCUAAACAUACUUUCACAUCUUCAUUACAUGGUUUAUGAAAACAAGAGGGCAUUGACUGAUCACUGUUUCAAACGGUCAAAAUCCCCUUUGUUGAAUAAUGGCUGACAUGAGCUGACACUAUGUAAUCUUUCUGAUCAUAGUUGGUGAUGAGCACAAAUUUUCAUCGCUUGAUAGUUGAGAUACCCCAACUGUACGGACAUAAAUCUUGUUGAUUAUCUAAAUCUUCCUUCUUUGAGCUUCGUUGAACGUACUUGUAAGAGGUGACAUGAUAUGUGGAUUUCUGCGGUUUUCGCACGAACAGUUUGAAGAAAUAUUUCCAAUUGUCCAGCAGAGGGGAAUCAUUUUAGUAAUAAAUACGGAGUAUUCAGCUCUGAUAACAACGCUGUACCUAACAGGUUGACUGCAAAAUCAGAUCAGUCAUGGUCCUCGUAAAAGAUUUUGUGUUUAGAUAUUUAUCUGUUAACCAGUCAGCAUUCAACGACACCUCAGUCUCUGUGGGAUCACUCGAAAAAACUGAAGUCAUCUGGACAUGGAUCAUUCCAACAUUAUGAUGCUGAACUAUGGAAGCAACUGCCGCUCGAACUAAAGUCAGCACCCUCACUAACAUCAUUUAAGACUGGACUUAAGACAAAUUUGUUCACAAAAGUUCUCUUCUUCCACAUACUGUAAACUUAAUUACCGUCAACAAUUCCACCUUCUGUGGGCAUUAUAGAAUUGUAUAUAGCAACUUUCCUCAUGUUGUUGUUUUUAUUGUUUAACGCCGCACUCAGCAAUAUUCCAGCUAUUUGGGAUGCAAGCGUGGUCCGCAUAUUUGCCAUGUUUUUCCUUAAUUUUGUCAAUCAAUUUUGUCAAAAGGGACAGAAAAUUCAAUGGUAUAAAUGAUUUCAUGGGAUUUAUAAAAAAGGACAAGGUCAGGUUUGUUGGCUUGGAUCGGUCUGAGGCUGAAUUCGGGCCUAUUUCAAAGAUUUUUGUAUUUAUCAUGUUCAUUGAUGUCCUUUAUGUUCAGGGUCGUACUUGGUAUGGACCUCUUGUGUCAAAACCCCAAUGGGGACCUGGAAUAGAAUGUAUCGUCAGCACCCCAUUGCUGGUCGUAAGAGGCGACCGAAUUGGGCAAUCCGUCCGUCGUGGGUUGCGCCCCUGUGUCGGCAGAGGACGGGAGUCUGUCGGUUGAGGGCACUGGUUCCAGAAAUAGCGUUCCUUUGCCCAAAACACCGCUUUGAUCCUUACUUCGCCGAGACGGGUGGUAGGAUGGACUCGGUCCUAUCAAUCGGCUGGUCAUGCCAAGCCC